UUGUGCUUACAGCUCUUUUUGAAUUUGUCUAGUAGGUCUUCUGGUUCUCACCAACAGACUCCC
rfam:Pteropus alecto contig14272, whole genome shotgun sequence.